rnacentral:sRNA from 1 species
AUAAAAAGAGGGACAAGUGGCUGGUGCUGUGGACAGAGAAGCUUUAUUUUUAGUAUGAGACAAUCUCUAUUUUCUUUCAGGAGAGGGAAGUUGGAUUAUCAAUUCUUUUGUAAAUGUGUAUGGUGAUAUUUGCUCCGCUUUUUGCAAUCUUUGCAUUUGCAACAUGCGGUGGCUAUUCCGGAGGCCUGCGGCUGAGUGUGGACUGUGUCAACAAGACAGAAAGUAACCUCAGCAUCGACAUAGCGUUUGCCUACCCAUUCAGGUUGCAUCAGGUGACGUUUGAGGUGCCCACCUGCGAGGGAAAGGAACGGCAGAAGCUGGCAUUGAUUGGUGACUCCUCGUCUUCAGCAGAGUUCUUCGUCACUGUUGCUGUCUUCGCCUUCCUCUACUCUUUGGCUGCCACUGUCGUUUACAUUUUCUUCCAGAACAAAUACCGGGAAAACAACCGGGGCCCACUCAUUGCAGAAAGUUCAGAGUGUGGGUCGAAAUCCAGAGCUCAAUUCAUAAUCACCAUGCAAGAGACCCAAGAUCCUGAUAGCCAAUGUGCUAUAAAAGUUAGAGAGGUGGAGAUAGGACUUCAUUGUCACUGUAGUCUUUUCGUUUUUGUGGUUGGUGGGUUCAUCAGCUUGGGCAAAAGGACUGUCUGACGUCAAAGUUGCAACAGAUCCCAAGGAAGUAUUGCUACUAAUGUCAGCUUGCAAACAGCCAUCCAACAAAUGCAUGGCUAUCCACAGCCCUGUUAUGUCAAGCUUAAACACUUCUGUGCUUUCUGAAAUUCAGUCUGCGAAGGCACUUAAGAAGAGAA